rnacentral:rRNA from 1 species
GCAGGCGGUUUUUUAAGUCCUGAAUGUGAAAGCCCCCGGCCUCAACCGGGGAGGGUCAUUGGAAACUGGGGAACUUGAGUGCAGAAGAGGAGAGUGGAAUUCCACGUGUAGCGGUGAAAUGCGUAGAGAUGUGGAGGAACACCAGUGGCGAAGGCGACUCUCUGGUCUGUAACUGACGCUGAGGAGCGAAAGCGUGGGGAGCGAACAGGAUUAGAUACCCUGGUAGUCCACGCCGUAAACGAUGAGUGCUAAGUGUUAGGGGGUUUCCGCCCCUUAGUGCUGCAGCUAACGCAUUAAGCACUCCGCCUGGGGAGUACGGUCGCAAGACUGAAACUCAAAGGAAUUGACGGGGGCCCGCACAAGCGGUGGAGCAUGUGGUUUAAUUCGAAGCAACGCGAAGAACCUUACCAGGUCUUGACAUCCUCUGACGAUCCUAGAGAUAGGACGUCCCCUUCGGGGGCAGAGUGACAGGUGGUGCAUGGUUGUCGUCAGCUCGUGUCGUGAGAUGUUGGGUUAAGUCCCGCAACGAGCGCAACCCUUGAUCUUAGUUGCCAGCAUUCAGUUGGGCACUCUAAGGUGACUGCCGGUGACAAACCGGAGGAAGGUGGGGAUGACGUCAAAUCAUCAUGCCCCUUAUGACCUGGGCUACACACGUGCUACAAUGGACAGAACAAAGGGCAGCGAAACCGCGAGGUUAAGCCAAUCCCACAAAUCUGUUCUCAGUUCGGAUCGCAGUCUGCAACUCGACUGCGUGAAGCUGGAAUCGCUA